UUCUCUGAAAUUUACUUUUCUUAUAUGUAAAAUGCAGCUAUUGUACAGGGUUAACCAACAGGACACAGCCCUGGUGAUGGCUUUCUGAGGAUGACACGAUGGAGGCUUCUCCAAUAGCUCUAAAACUGCGGUGUGGAAAACAUUCGGCAGCCUCAAAGAGCGGUCUUGUUGACCCCAACUAUAUCAUUUUUCAUCAAAAUCAUUCUUGGAAAGAAUGACCAGGCAACACUCUUUGAAAAUUGGAGGCCAUUUGCAGCUGCUCUCUGUUGAGGAAAGUGAAUAAUAGGGUGCCCUCAAGGAAUUGCAAAGGUAUCACUCAACAGAAACUUUCGUGUCUGAAGAAAACUAGAUCAUUUUAUCAUGGUAGGCAUGCUGAUAUGUUUGCUUUAAUAAAAUGCCAUAUUUCUGCCUUUAAUCUCUUGUCAACCCGCUAUUAAAAAGCCCCAAAGUGCAUGUGUGCAGCGCAUGUAAACACUUGUGGUUUUGAGGUUACCACAGAACAUACUAAUAAAGCAUGUAAUUUGUGUUUUGUGCACAGGACACGCUGCGGAUGGCUUGAGAUUAGUAUCUGCGCAGGUGCCAUUCUCACAGUGUGUGCUGUGAGAAUGUCGCAGACGUGUGCUGCUACUCUGGCACUCACACUUGUCCAGGCUGUUUCCUAUUUUAUAGACAAAGCAGUGGAGCCACAGAGAGGUUAAGUAACUUGCCCAAUGUCACACAGCAAAAAGUGGCAGAGCCACAAUUUUAAUUUGGGUUGAAGAGGAAAAUAGAUAAUGCAUAUUCCUAGGAUCUGAGAGAUGUUUGAGGUGAGGGGGAAUGAGAGGCUCUCCUUUGAAAGAAGCAGCAGGGGGUACUGAAACAGAGUAGAAGAGUGUGAAAGCUGGUGGGGUUGUUGUUGUUGUUGUUUUUAGUCCUAAGUUAGUGGCAUGAAAGCACUGCCCUGGAAGCGAUGGAGCAGCAAGUGCUCUACCCACAUGGAAGUCUUUGGGACCUGCACUUCAAUGAGCGCAGAGAGGAAAAGGAGAGAAGAACCAACACAACUGAAGCACCUACGAGCGUCAGGCACUGGCCCAGGUGCCAUGGACCCCCGAGUUGAAGGUCGUAUAACCUCAGCCUGCCCAAAUGAACCAAGCACACAACCACAGGGGGAACCCAAGAGUUCCAGUGGGAGAGCUGGAAGAGGAGGGACCAAUGUGAGAAGUGGACACCAUAUGGCAGGAUCCAGGAUCCAAUCAGACUGAGCCCUGGGGUCACCCCAUGG
rnacentral:lncRNA from 1 species